AUGCGCUUGGGCCUGGACUGAGAUAUACGGUUGGCCAGUUUCGAAGCCCGAUGUUUGGCUUUGGUACAUCAUCACCAAUUAGUCUGCUCCAACUCCGUAACAAAUCGAUUGGGACUUGUAUUUUUUUUAUUACUAGAGAUCAACAAAAAUAGAAAUCAUAGUUACUUUAGGAUUUUCCCUUAAAAAUAAAUAAUAGAUGAGACGAGCCUCGCCUAAUAAGUGUAUAAAUUACGGGACCCUCAGUAAAUGAUUAUAAUAAAUACAUAGAACUCGGGAUGGAUCAUUUAGUCAAUUUCACGGCUUUCACCAAAAUAAUAACGCAUUAGACACUUUACACGUGCUUUUAAUAAAAUUACCUUCCUAAACUCAGGUGCACAUUUAUGUGACCCAAAUCC
rnacentral:lncRNA from 1 species